GGCCCCGCCCACGUGAGCCUGCGCGUUAGGUAGCGCAGUCGGAAGCCGGGAGCGGGCUCUGCCGAGGGCCCUCUCUACACCGCGGACCUGGCUUUAUCGUGCGCUUGGAGCUGGGGCGCUCGGGUUGUGGAUGGCGGCGGCAGCCGAGCCCGGUGCCCGGACCUGGCCGGGCAGUGGUUCCCCACGUCUUGGCAGCCCGGCCGGCAGUCCAGUGCUGGGCAUCUCGGGCCGCACACGCCCGGGGUCAGGGCCGGAGCGGACUAGCAGAGCUAUUGGCUCCGCAGCACCUGGCCACAGCUUUCGCAAGGUGACACUCACCAAGCCUACCUUCUGCCACCUCUGCUCGGACUUCAUCUGGGGACUGGCUGGCUUCCUGUGCGAUGUCUGCAACUUCAUGUCCCAUGAGAAGUGCCUGAAGCAGGUGAAGACCCCGUGCACAAGCAUUGCACCAAGCCUCGUCCGGGUGCCUGUAGCCCACUGCUUUGGUUCCCUUGGUCUCUACAAGCGCAAGUUCUGUGUGGUCUGCCGCAAGAGCCUGGAGGUACCCGCAUUCCGCUGUGAAGUGUGUGAGCUGCACGUUCACCCCGACUGUGUGCCCUUCGCCUGCAGCGACUGUCGUCAGUGCCACCAGGAUGGACAGCAGGAUUAUGACACGUAUCACCACCACUGGAGGGAGGGGAACCUGCCUUCUGGUGCACGAUGUGAGGUCUGUAGGAAGACUUGUGGUUCCUCAGAUGUGCUGGCUGGUGUACGCUGCGAGUGGUGUGGUGUACAGGCUCACUCAGUGUGCUCCACAGCACUUGCGCCUGAGUGUACAUUUGGACGUCUACGCUCCAUGGUACUGCCUCCUUCGUGUGUGCGCCUGUUGUCCCGAAACUUCAGCAAGAUGCACUGUUUCCGAAUCCCUGAGACCAUGGUCCUGGAGCUUGGUGAUGGGGAUGAUGGCGUAGACGGGAGUGCUGCUAUAGGCACAGGCAGAGAGGUACUGACAGCUACAGAGUCCACCAAACAGACCCUGAAGAUCUUUGAUGGCAACGACUCCAUGAGGAAAAAUCAGUUUCGUCUGGUUACAGUUUCCCGCCUGGCUCGGAAUGAGGAAGUGAUGGAGGCAGCACUUCGGGCCUACUAUAUUAGCGAGGACCCUAAGGACUUCCAGCUGCAGGCACUGCCCCUGUCUGGCAAUGCCCAGGCUCUGGGGAAGGCUGGGACCACUGAGGAGGAGGCUAGUAAAGGCUCUUGUCCCCGGGAUUCCGUGCCUGAGGCCUGGGUCAUCAGGUCUUUGCCUCGUACCCAAGAGAUCCUGAAGAUCUACCCUGGCUGGCUCAAGGUAGGUGUGGCCUACGUGUCCAUCCGUGUGAACUCCCAGAGUACAGCACGGUCUGUGGUUCAAGAGGUUCUCCCACUGUUUGGACAACAGGUUGAGGAUAAGGAGAGAUUCCAGCUGAUUGAGGUGCUCAUGAGCAGCAGACAAGUCCAACGGACCGUGCUGGCAGAUGAAGAACCUCUGCUAGACCGACUCUGGGACAUCCGACAGACUUCUGUGCGCCAGGUGAGCCAGACGCGGUUCUACGUGGCCGAGACCAGGGCCACGGCCCCACGUGUCUCCCUGUUCGUGGGUGGCCUGCCACCUGGCUUGUCCCCCCAGGAUUACAGCAACCUGCUGCAUGAGGCCAUGGCCACCAAAGCUGCUGUGGUGUCUGUGAGUCACGUCUACUCCUUACAAGGUGCAGUAAUUCUGGACGUCACCUGCUUCGCGGAGGCUGAGCGGCUAUACAUGCUGGCCAGGGACACAGCAGUGCAUGGCCGGCCACUGACUGCAUUAGUGCUUCCAGAUGUGCUGAAUCUGGCAGUGGCUGGGAAGAGCUGCACAGAGGGCAGCAGAGGACAGAGAAUUCAUAUGAGGAGUGCCAGAAGGAUUUAUGCCUGGGCUCCACAAAGUCCCCACAGCACACGAAGCUGCCUCCUGACUGCUGCCCUCUCCUCGUGUUUGUGAACCCCAAGAGUGGGGGUCUCAAGGGACGAGAACUGCUCUGCAGUUUCCGGAAGCUGCUGAAUCCGCACCAGGUCUUUGAGCUAACCAACGGGGGCCCUCUUCCUGGGUGAGCCACCUUUCUCUAGCUGGUAGAAAUUCUAAAUGGGACUGCUGGAAUCAUUAAGUCCUCUAUGUGGCCAGAGAUGGACAUCUGAAAAGGAAAGGGCUGCCCAGGGCAAGAAUGAGUAUCCAGGUUCUGGCCUGGGCAGCCAGGAGGUAGUGGCAGAAUACUGUCUCCCACACAGGUUCCACCUUUUCUCCCAGGUGCCCAGUUUUCGGGUACUGGUGUGUGGUGGAGAUGGCACCGUUGGCUGGGUGCUCGCUGCCCUGGAGGAGACAAGGCGCCAUCUGGCCUGUCCAGAGCCAUCUGUGGCCAUCUUGCCCCUGGGUACAGGGAAUGACCUUGGCCGGGUCCUUCGUUGGGGGGCAGGCUAUAGUGGUGAGGACCCAUUUUCUGUGCUGGUGUCGGUGGAUGAGGCUGAUGCUGUGCUCAUGGAUCGAUGGACAAUCCUGCUGGAUGCUCAUGAAAUUGAUAGUACAGAGAACAAUGUGGUAGAAACAGAGCCCCCCAAGGUACCAGUGUGGCACCAGCUAGAAUCUUACAUAUGGCUCCCCCUUUGCUGAUGUGCAACUUUCCUCCCAGUUACCCCUAAGGCAGAGCAGGAACUUGUUGACUGAAGCCUGUGGGGUUGUGGGAUUGUAGGGUUGUGCCUUCUGUGGGCAUGCUGUGGCAUUUAAGCAGAGAGGUUCCUAGGAAAAGGCACUGGUGACAAUAGAUAGAGAUGUCUGGCACAGUUUUGGACACUCAUGGGUGGCUGGCCAGCAUCCUGGUUAUGCCCUGUCUCCAGAUUGUUCAGAUGAAUAACUACUGUGGCAUUGGUAUUGAUGCGGAGCUCAGCCUGGACUUCCACCAGGCACGUGAAGAGGAGCCUGGCAAAUUCACAAGCAGGUUCCACAACAAGGGCGUGUAUGUGCGGGUCGGGCUGCAGAAGAUCAGCCACUCUCGAAGCCUACACAAGGAGAUCCGGCUGCAGGUGGAGCAGCAGGAGGUGGAGCUACCCAGCAUUGAGGGUCUCAUCUUCAUUAACAUCCCCAGCUGGGGCUCAGGGGCCGACUUGUGGGGCUCUGACAACGACUCAAGGUUUGAGAAGCCACGCAUAGACGACGGGCUGUUGGAGGUGGUGGGUGUGACAGGUGUCGUGCACAUGGGCCAGGUACAAGGUGGGCUACGCUCUGGAAUCCGCAUUGCCCAGGGCUCCUACUUCCGUGUCACACUCCUCAAGGCUACUCCAGUGCAGGUGGAUGGUGAGCCCUGGGUUCAGGCCCCAGGUCACAUGAUCAUCUCUGCUACUGCACCUAAGGUUCACAUGCUGAGAAAGGCUAAGCAGAAGCCCAGGAAGGCUGGCGCCAACAGGGAUACCCGAGUGGACACCUUGCCUGCUCCUGAGGGCAAUCCUUUAUAGAGGAGCCAAGAUGAGAGGUCUCAACCACCCAGCCUUUCUUUGGUUGGUCACACACUGGCUGGCCAGCAGAUGGACUUAGCUGUAGCACUGACCAUAGCAUCUUCAUGGGUCUUGGGAUGUUUCCAUCCCAAUGUCAUGUGCAAACUUAGGAGUGGGUAGGUAAUGGUCAUUACUCACGCUGCCAUACAUAGUACCAAUGUAUAUGACUGGGCAUGAGGCUCUGGCUAGCUUGUCUUCUGCACAAGACUAGUUCUUACAGGAAAAACGGAGCUGGUCCUGUUAGCCACAUUCCUUCCUUUGAAACCUCUCUUGAAACCCUCUUAGACCCAAUACGUCUGGAUGCAGGCCAUCCAGGUGGGUCCUCUGAUUUCAUUUGUUCUUUCAAAGCAGCUAACCAUGUUGGGCCCUGGCCUAACAGAUCCAGAAAGCUGCCUGUUCUCCUGUACUGACUGGGUGGGUGUGGCAUUCUCAAGUCCCCUGGACUUAUCACUAGAUGUCAGUUUGGGCUUAACAUACUAGUUACAAGGUCUCAUCCAGCUGGUGCCCAUGGACUGACAAAGUUGUACUUAGGGAUGGGAAUCUUUGUCUACCCUUAGGCUAAGUGAGUUUAGUUAUCACUCACAUGUCAUAGCUGGAAUGUGUGCUAGGCCCUUAGUGUCCCUCUUCAACUCCAGAGUGGGCACCUAGUGCCCAGAAGGGUUCAGAACAGGGCCAGGUAGUACCUGGUUGAGGAGUGUGUAAAUAACAUCUGUUGUGGAGUGGCUUGAACUCCCUUAGACUCAACUUAUAGCACUUUAUAUACAUGGUGUUUGCCUGCCUACAGCCCUUCCUUGUAGCUGUAGAGCUUCUACUCUGGCACCUACACAAAUGGAAGCAGCUCUGAUGGCCAGGUCUUGCUGGAGGCACCAGGUUCACAGAACGAGAGAAAAGCGGUCUCUUCCAUGCACCCAAGAAUUCAUUGUCACACUUAAGACCCUAGAAAGAAUUUGUCCAAAAAUGAGCUGCCUAGCUAAGCCUGGUACAUGCCUAUAAUUCAUUUCUCCAGGCUAAAGCAUAACUGGGUUAUAGCGCUAAAGCCCCUCUCAAAAAGUGAAAACAUUAAAAAAAAAUGCUAAAGACAUCUAAAGGUCUAGCCCCAGGCCUGGCUCGGGGAAGACUAUGUGGGAAGUCUCCUGUGAUGAGUACCCCCCACCCCCAAAAGCCAGUCAGUGCAGAGCCUUCUCCUGUGUGUCAUUACUUGGCUUGUGGACACCUUCAGAAGUGUGAUACCAGGGUAGUGUGUGGACCAGGGUGUCUCCCUGCCUGACAGCUUCAUGGGACCAUUGUGCCACCCCCCCCUACCCCACCCCCUGCUUCUGCCAAAACUGCAUACAAGUGCAUCAGAUAGCCAUGUGUGAGCUCAGUGCCGAUGAUCAUGUUUACAUCAUUUUCAAUGUUCAAAAGAAAUUCUUUGUGAUGUAAUUUUUCAUUUUUAUUUCAAUCUGUAGGAAUUGUUUGUAAAUUACGGUCAGUGUAGCAUGUCCUCUGUAUUUAAGUGAGACUGUCUUUAUGUGGAGUGUGUCCUGUGCACUGACUGGUCCUGUCUUUGUGUGUAAUUUAUCACUACCUGAAUGUGAUCUAAGUUAUAUCUGGGCCAAAUACACAGUGUGGGUUUUGCUGUCCCA